rnacentral:lncRNA from 1 species
AUGAGCUCCGAGCGCAGCCCAGGGCCGCCCUCCCCGCCGGCGGCAGGUGUGGCUCCCGGCGAGCGAGACCUGAGCGCAGGUGCCGCCUCCGUCCCUUACGCGGGCCGCGCGGCCGGUCGUCCUGGGGCAGGAGCCGCGCGGCAGGUCGGGCGCCCCGGGAGCCCCUCGCCGCAGCCAUUUCCUGCUCUUUGUGUGACGGCGGCGGCGGCGGCGGAGGGCCGGCCCCGCGCGGGGGAGGAGCCGGAGCCGGAGCCGGGAGCCGCGAGCCGCGAGCCGGGCGCGGGGGGCGGGGCGGGGCGGGGCGGGCCCGGGGGCGGGGGCGGGGCCGAGCGCGGCGGCCGCGGGAGCCGAGCGGAGCCGGGCGGAGCGGGCAGAGCAUCCUGCGCCCCGGCGCGGGGCCCCCGGCAGCCUCGGGCCGCUCGCCUGGACCUGCCGCCGACGCAGGUAAGCGGCGCGGCGCUCGCGGGCCUGGGCGCCGGCCUGGGCGCCGGGAUGCUGCGGGGGACGCCGGUGCGGCCGCGAGGAUGCGCGGGGGGCCGGCGCCCCUCCACCCAGCCCGAGGGGGGGCGCUCGGCGCGGCGCCCCGGCUGGCGCGGCCUGGGGGACCCGGAGCCCCUGGGGCAGGGCUGCAGGCCCCGCGCGGCCCCUGCCGGCUCCGGCCCAUCCCGGCCCCGCGGCGCGGACCCGGGGCGAGGAGGCGCGGACACGCGACGCAGCUCGGGCGCGGCGGCGGCGGCGGCGGCGGCAGCAGCAGGUGCGCGGCCUGGGCCGAAGCCGCGGGCCGGAGACGCAGCGGCGCUGAUCCCGGCCGGGAGACACCUGCGGGGGCCGCGAGCCCAGCGGCGGCGACCCCCGGAGCCCAGGUAUUGCGGAGCGCCGGCCGCCGCCUCCGCCGCCUCGGCCCAUCCCCUCCUCCAGGGCCAGCGAGAGGCGCGUGGGCCCGCCUGGCGGCCGCCGGGGACAGCAGCGCCCUGCGCUGGGCGCGACAUGGGUGGGGCGGGGGGGCCGCCGGCGACCGGGGGUGCGGGGCUUUAG